GUGAGGAAUAUUGGUCAAUGGACGAAAGUCUGAACCAGCCAUGCCGCGUGAAGGAUGAAGGCCCUCUGGGUUGUAAACUUCUUUUAUCUGGGACGAAAAAAGGGUAUUCUUACUCACUUGACGGUACCAGAGGAAUAAGCACCGGCUAACUCCGUGCCAGCAGCCGCGGUAAUACGGAGGGUGCAAGCGUUAUCCGGAUUCACUGGGUUUAAAGGAUGCGUAGGUGGGUAUUUAAGUCAGUGGUGAAAUCUCCGAGCUUAACUCGGAAACUGCCAUUGAUACUAUUUACCUUGAAUGCCCUGGAGGUAAGCGGAAUAUGUCAUGUAGCGGUGAAAUGCUUAGAUAUGACAUAGAACACCAAUUGCGAAGGCAGCUUACUACGGGGUGAUUGACACUGAGGCACGAAAGCGUGGGGAGCAAACAGGAUUAGAAACCCCGGUAGUCC
rnacentral:rRNA from 1 species